GAGGGAAUAAACUUGUCACGCUUAAUUAAUAUUAUAAUAAUACAAUACGAAUGUCAUAUCUUUGGAUAUCAUUGUGCAAAUUGAGUAAAAUGUACUGUCUGCAAACUGAAGGUGUAUCUAUGGCAACAAAUUAUUGUACUUUACUAUAACUAUGAACAGUAAUUACACGAUGAUAAGAAUCGGAUAAUCACAUCGCAUGAUAAUUCACGUAAAAUCUAGAAACUGUCCUGCGGAAUCUAAAACUCCCAAGUACAAACACAAAAGAAAGAAAUAUAUGAUGUGAUAUGGAUGUUGCAUGCUCAUCAGAAACAAGCAUCCAACAUACAACAACAACACAAAGCAGCACAGCAUCCUUUCCAGAAUCCAUCACCCUUCGACUUGGUCUCUACCGGAACAGGAACAGGGUUUUGGUCGCCGGCAUUGGAUCUUGCCGGAUAACCAGCAGGUGGUGGAGCCGAAUAAGGCGGCUUAGGGUAGGCAGCAACAGAACUAGUUGUGCUUGAACUCAUCCUGAUUAAUAUGAUCACGUACAGAAGGAAUUAGAGAAUGAUGAAUACUUUGCAAGUUUGCAGGGAAGAGGUUUGAGAUAUUGAGAAGAGGAUAGACGAAGGUGUACUUAUAUAGAGAGAAAAGCAGGUGAUAUUUGGUGAAGUGGUUGUUUCUUAGAAGGAAUAUCAAUGGUGGCUUUUACGCAGGCGGCUUCACCGCGUGUCGUGGAGACUGGGGAAGAAGAAGGAAUAACAAAGACGGCGCGAAGAAUACAAGGGCCUGCUAUAACUAUUUUAAUUAGGUAGAAGUAUGUCGUUGCUUUUAGAAUAUCGGAAGGUAUAUGAGCUUCGGUUGAUUUUGCUUCGAAGGCCCAAUUCAUCUCCAUCUUUUCUUUUGGCGUAGGAUGUUUGCGGAGCGGAUGCAGUGCACCACGGUGCACUUGAACCAGCUAACUAGGGUAACGGAACUAUAUCAACGUUAAGUUAGCAAACUUUCAAAAAAAAUAGAAACGCAGUAAAACUACAAUUACCUAUCUUAUUAUAACCCUACUGAGUACUAACUGGAGAGAAGACGACGAGGACGACCAUCACUAGGGAUUUUGGCGAGCUCGGAUCGGAGGCAGUCAGUAAGAAUCGAGGUGAGUGAGUGAAUGACAUCGAGUUGCAGGAAGUGCUUGAUGGCCAAUCAGUAAGAAUCGACGGCGUCGGCGGGGUGAUAAGGGAUCGGAGGUCCCGGAGGCGGAGAGGAGAGUCGCCGUGGAAGGGAAGCAGGGGCCGACGAGGCGUACGUGGAGAGAGAGAGAGAGAGAGAGAGAGAGAGAGAGAGAGAGAGAGAGAGAGAGAGAGAGAGAGAGAGAGAGAGAGAGNNNNNNNNNNNNNNNNNNNNCUAGCGAUAACUCAAAUGAGGCUAGCUAUAAUUUAUUACAUUCCUUGGAAGAUAUUUCAUGUGAUAUAUAAAUAUAUUUAAACUAUUUAAUUUCUAUUUGAAGAAUAAUGUUCAUGUAAUGCU
rnacentral:lncRNA from 1 species